rnacentral:misc_RNA from 1 species
UAGUAAUUUAUGGAAAUCCAUCCCUGCACACAACCAAAAGAAAGAUGAAAAUCACAGGACAAACUAUUGACACGGUCAAUCAAUGUCAUGAGAUUGCACAACUCAAAUGUCCGAUUGAAGACCCAAAAACAAGAGACUACAAUGAAUGAGAUUUUUGAAAUCAUCAAUCUCACUUUUGCAACAUGAACAAGAAAUGCCAAGCAAUGACAUGGUGUACAAAACUAUAACACAAAAAACAAGUUGAACCAACUAAACCAGCCUUCUUAUGUUAUUCAUUUAAAAUAACUCAUAUUCAUGCUUGGAUUUUGACAGAAGUACAUUCAUAUCGAUCAAAAUUAGUUGUAAACUAUUUUGAGAGAGCAUUUACCUAAAUAACUCAUUAUUGAGUAGAUGACAAACUUCAACCCAGCAAGUAUCAACCAAAACAAAUAUCCAUCAAUUUCAUGCCAUUCAAACAACAUAGAGCACUAUUACCUCAUUUUCCAUAUUUUGACGAGUACAUUCAACUUUAUACCAAAUUUGAUUGUGCCAGAGAAGUUUUGUUACUUUUUUCCUCAUUCCUCUAACUCGAAGUGAGAACAAAGACGAGUUUCAGAAUCAUAAUACUACAAAUGAGGGAAAAACAAAAGAAAAAGAGAAAAAUGACUAGAUGAUGAUCCACUAAAAGAUUAGGCUAACACCAGGGACCGAUAUCAUCUGCCAUAGCAUCACAAGAAAUUAUCCAAUAAUAAGUUGGCAACUGGUUAAAACAGACAAAAAAAUGAUGGUCAGCAAUUAUUAUGAUGCCCACUCAUCUACGCGAAUUUGACACACAAAAGAAAUUGAAAACCAGAAAAAAAAUAUAUGAUGAGGCAGAACUGGAAAGUGGUGUUUCCUAAGAAAAAAUCUCGAAAGGCUCUGUUUAGCAUUGUGCUUUCACCACCUCUUAUUCCUGACCUAGGUUAUGAGGUGCAAAUAAGGCACACCCCAUAUUAAAAAAUAAAUAAAUAAAA